CAAAUGAGGCAGUGCAAAAGAUCAGAGAAAGAAUGCGUACUGCUCAGAGCAGACAUAAAGUUAUGCAAACUCAAGAUGAAGGAAUCUAGAGUUUGAAGUGGGCGACAUGGUGUUCUUGAAGGUGACCCCAAUGAAAGGUGUCCUAAGGUUUGGACGCAAAGGCAAAUUGAGUCCACGCUUUAUAGGACCUUUUGAAAUUUUGGAGCGGAUUGGACCCGUUGCGUAUAGA